rnacentral:lncRNA from 1 species
CUGGGAGACUUUGUGUAUUCUUAACUCCGCGACCCCCCUUGGGCCCCCUCCCUCGCUGCGCUUUGCAGUUUGGUGCUGGCAGUUUCUACCAAAGCGCUUUUUUAUCUUUUCUUCUUUUAAAAAAUGUUACAUCGCCCUGCUCCUUCAGCCAUAGCCGCAUGUGUGCGUGUGCGUGCGUGUUGACUGUGACACGGGUGUUACAUUUUUUCCUGUGCCCCUUCUCCCUGUAGGGUGAAGCUCUGGGCCUCGGCUUUUGGUGGGGAGAUAAAAUCCAUUGCUGCUAAGUACUCCGGUUCCCAGCUUCUGCAAAAGGUAGCUUGUCCCAAGGACAGGCAUCAGUGUCUGAGCACCUCUGCUUUGAUCCAUCCUCUGGGCAGAUUUACCCAGUCUGCCCUUGUAGAGUCUGGCCAAGUGAGGUUUUGUCCAACCAGAUUGUGAGAUAACAUGGUGUGAUGUUGUACAGCCACCUUUAAAAAAUCCGUGAUCUUGUUGCAGAUGUACAAUUCUGUUCCGUCAAACAAACAAACAAAAAAC